rnacentral:lncRNA from 1 species
CAGUACAGAAAUGCAUGACUGUCAGAAACAUGGACUUCAGAGUAAUAUGUCUGGACAGUUGUUUCUGACAGGCAACAUAGAAGGAAAGCAACCUGUAUGAUUAGGAACCAUCACACUAGAUCAUAUCCAGAGGGCUGCCAAAGCUGAACCACCUCACCAGCUUUCAAACAAAUUCAUUCAUUCAUCCAACAAACAUUAAGUUGUGUGUUACAAGCCAGGUGCUGAGCUAGUUUGCGGGAAUCCAGAAAUUAAAGAGAGUGCCAGAGUUGCCAGGAUUGUAUAGUUAUAUUGAAGUGAGAUAAGAACAGGUGCCUGUGGAAUGUGAGAGCACAGUCAUGGUGGUUACAUGUUUUAGAGUCAAACCAUCUAGGUUCAUGAUUCACAACACUGAUUAUAUCCACGUGACCUGGACUAGGUACAUACCCUCACUAGGCCUUGGGAUUCUUAUCUGUAAAUGGAAAUAGAGUAACUCCUACUUCAUGAGACCGUUCUGAUUAUUAAAUUAUGUAAUUCUUGCAAGGUGGUUAUAACAAUCCCUGGGACAUGGUAAACAAUAAAUGUGAAUCCUUCUACUACUGAUAUAUGCUAGUAGUAGCAAAUAUGGAAGGACAUACUGCUGAAUGAGUAGAGAGAGGACAAGGGACGGUGAGAGGUAGUAUUUUUUUAUUUACUUGAUACAUUAAAAAAAAAACUUGUUAGCUUUAUUAGAAAACAAAAGUUAAACAAAAAUCACCUGUAUUUUCAAAUUAACAUUUUGGUGUAUCGUUUCGCAAUUUUUCAUUUGCAUAUAUAGAGAUCAUACUAUGCAUACUAUUUGGUAUCACAUUUUCCCACUAUGACUUAAUAAACAUGUAUUUACAUCAUAACAACUCCAUGUAUUCACUGCAUAAUUGCACAUUAUUGUGCUGGAUCAGUUGCCUAUCACAAUUAUUUUUCUUUGUUCUACUAAAAGCAACACUGUCAUGAACGUCUUUCUGUCUCUCUGCCAGUUAUCUGAUAAUCAACUGAUAAUUUUGUUUAUGUUUCUAAGAGGUGACAAACACACAGCAAUGGUUAAACAGUUUUAUUUCAACAGAUAAAAUAUUUGCAUAUUUCAAAUAUUAAAACAAUAUCAAAAAUCAUAAUUAAGAUAUCUUGUUUUCACUCACCUUGCUUUCUAUUUCCUCCCAUUAUAGGAGACUGUUUUAAUUAGGUUCUUAUGUAACUUUUUAGUGUUGUUAUGUAAAUAAUAGCAAAUACUCCACAUAUAUUCUUAUUUUCCCAUUUCUUACACAAAAGCUAGCGUACAAUAAUCACUGUUCUGCAUCUUAUUUUAUUUCCAUGUAACAAUAUAUUGAAGAUGAUACCAUUUUGGUACAGAAAAAAUUCUCUCUC